rnacentral:rRNA from 1 species
GCUUGAGAGAACUCUGCUGAAGGAACUAGGCAAAAUGGUACCGUAACUUCGGGAGAAGGUACGCUGCCGACGGUGAUAGGAUUUACUCCUUGAGCUAUUGGCAGCCACAGAAACCAGGCCCCUGCAACUGUUUAUUAAAAACAUAGCACUCUGCAAACACGAAAGUGGACGUAUAGGGUGUGAUGCCUGCCCGGUGCUGGAAGGUUAAUUGAUGGGGUUAGCGUAAGCGAAGCUCUUGAUCGAAGCCCCAGUAAACGGCGGCCGUAACUAUAACGGUCCUAAGGUAGCGAAAUUCCUUGUCGGGUAAGUUCCGACCUGCACGAAUGGCAUAAUGAUGGGGGCGCUGUCUCCAGCAGAGACUCAGUGAAAUCGAAUUCGCCGUGAAGAUGCGGUGUACCCGCGGCUAGACGGAAAGACCCCGUGAACCUUUACUGCAGCUUGACAUUGAACUUUGAUCUUACUUGUGUAGGAUAGGUGGGAGGCUUUGAAACCGAGACGCUAGUUUCGGUGGAGCCAAUCUUGAAAUACCACCCUGGUAAUAUUGAGGUUCUAACUCUGUCCCGUUAUCCGGGACGAGGACCAUGUCUGGUGGGUAGUUUGACUGGGGCGGUCUCCUCCUAAAGAGUAACGGAGGAGUACGAAGGUGCGCUCAGCGUGGUCGGAAAUCGCGCGUAGAGUAUAAAGGCAAAAGCGCGCUUAACUGCGAGACCCACAAGUCGAGCAGGUACGAAAGUAGGUCUUAGUGAUCCGGUGGUUCUGUAUGGAAGGGCCAUCGCUCAACGGAUAAAAGGUACUCUGGGGAUAACAGGCUGAUACCGCCCAAGAGUUCAUAUCGACGGCGGUGUUUGGCACCUCGAUGUCGGCUCAUCUCAUCCUGGGGCUGAAGCAGGUCCCAAGGGUAUGGCUGUUCGCCAUCUAAAGAGGUACGCGAGCUGGGUUUAGAACGUCGUGAGACAGUUCGGUCCCUAUCUACCGUGGGCGUUGGAAAUUUGAGAGGAUCUGCUCCUAGUACGAGAGGACCAGAGUGGACGAACCUCUGGUGUACCGGUUGUGACGCCAGUCGCAUCGCCGGGUAGCUAUGUUCGGAAGGGAUAACCGCUGAAAGCAUCUAAGCGGGAAGCCUACCUCAAGAUAAGAUUUCCCUAGGACUUUAUGUCCUCUAAAGAGCCGUUGAAGACUACGACGUUGAUAGGUUGGAUGUGGAAGCAUAGUGAUAUGUGAAGCUGACCAAUACUAAUUGCUCGUGAGGCUUGAC